rnacentral:rRNA from 1 species
AUUGAACGCUGGCGGCAGGCCUAACACAUGCAAGUCGAACGGUAACAGGAAACAGCUUGCUGUUUCGCUGACGAGUGGCGGACGGGUGAGUAAUGUCUGGGAAACUGCCUGAUGGAGGGGGAUAACUACUGGAAACGGUAGCUAAUACCGCAUAACGUCGCAAGACCAAAGAGGGGGACCUUCGGGCCUCUUGCCAUCGGAUGUGCCCAGAUGGGAUUAGCUAGUAGGUGGGGUAACGGCUCACCUAGGCGACGAUCCCUAGCUGGUCUGAGAGGAUGACCAGCCACACUGGAACUGAGACACGGUCCAGACUCCUACGGGAGGCAGCAGUGGGGAAUAUUGCACAAUGGGCGCAAGCCUGAUGCAGCCAUGCCGCGUGUAUGAAGAAGGCCUUCGGGUCGUAAAGUACUUUCAGCGGGGAGGAAGGGAGUAAAGUUAAUACCUUUGCUCAUUGACGUUACCCGCAGAAGAAGCACCGGCUAACUCCGUG